AGAGUUUGAUCAUGGCUCAGAUUGAACGCUGGCGGCAGGCCUAACACAUGCAAGUCGAACGGUAACAGGAAGCAGCUUGCUGCUUUGCUGACGAGUGGCGGACGGGUGAGUAAUGUCUGGGAAACUGCCUGAUGGAGGGGGAUAACUACUGGAAACGGUGGCUAAUACCGCAUAAUGUCGCAAGACCAAAGAGGGGGACCUUCGGGCCUCUUGCCAUCAGAUGUGCCCAGAUGGGAUUAGCUUGUUGGUGAGGUAACGGCUCACCAAGGCGACGAUCCCUAGCUGGUCUGAGAGGAUGACCAGCCACACUGGAACUGAGACACGGUCCAGACUCCUACGGGAGGCAGCAGUGGGGAAUAUUGCACAAUGGGCGCAAGCCUGAUGCAGCCAUGCCGCGUGUAUGAAGAAGGCCUUCGGGUUGUAAAGUACUUUCAGCGGGGAGGAAGGUGUUGUGGUUAAUAACCGCAGCAAUUGACGUUACCCGCAGAAGAAGCACCGGCUAACUCCGUGCCAGCAGCCGCGGUAAUACGGAGGGUGCAAGCGUUAAUCGGAAUUACUGGGCGUAAAGCGCACGCAGGCGGUCUGUCAAGUCGGAUGUGAAAUCCCCGGGCUCAACCUGGGAACUGCAUUCGAAACUGGCAGGCUUGAGUCUUGUAGAGGGGGGUAGAAUUCCAGGUGUAGCGGUGAAAUGCGUAGAGAUCUGGAGGAAUACCGGUGGCGAAGGCGGCCCCCUGGACAAAGACUGACGCUCAGGUGCGAAAGCGUGGGGAGCAAACAGGAUUAGAUACCCUGGUAGUCCACGCCGUAAACGAUGUCUACUUGGAGGUUGUGCCCUUGAGGCGUGGCUUCCGGAGCUAACGCGUUAAGUAGACCGCCUGGGGAGUACGGCCGCAAGGUUAAAACUCAAAUGAAUUGACGGGGGCCCGCACAAGCGGUGGAGCAUGUGGUUUAAUUCGAUGCAACGCGAAGAACCUUACCUGGUCUUGACAUCCACAGAACUUUCCAGAGAUGGAUUGGUGCCUUCGGGAACUGUGAGACAGGUGCUGCAUGGCUGUCGUCAGCUCGUGUUGUGAAAUGUUGGGUUAAGUCCCGCAACGAGCGCAACCCUUAUCCUUUGUUGCCAGCGGUCCGGCCGGGAACUCAAAGGAGACUGCCAGUGAUAAACUGGAGGAAGGUGGGGAUGACGUCAAGUCAUCAUGGCCCUUACGACCAGGGCUACACACGUGCUACAAUGGCGCAUACAAAGAGAAGCGACCUCGCGAGAGCAAGCGGACCUCAUAAAGUGCGUCGUAGUCCGGAUUGGAGUCUGCAACUCGACUCCAUGAAGUCGGAAUCGCUAGUAAUCGUGGAUCAGAAUGCCACGGUGAAUACGUUCCCGGGCCUUGUACACACCGCCCGUCACACCAUGGGAGUGGGUUGCAAAAGAAGUAGGUAGCUUAACCUUCGGGAGGGCGCUUACCACUUUGUGAUUCAUGACUGGGGUGAAGUCGUAACAAGGUAACCGUAGGGGAACCUGCGGUUG
rnacentral:rRNA from 2 species